UACGAAGGGAGCUAGCGUUGUUCGGAAUUACUGGGCGUAAAGGGCGCGUAGGCGGUAAGAUCAGUCAGGUGUGAAAUCCCUGGGCUCAACCCAGGAACUGCGCUUGAUACUAUCUUGCUUGAAUUCGGUAGAGGUGAGUGGAAUUCCCAGUGUAGAGGUGAAAUUCGUAGAUAUUGGGAGGAACACCGGUGGCGAAGGCGGCUCACUGGACCGACAUUGACGCUGAGGCGCGAAAGCGUGGGGAGCAAACAGG
rnacentral:rRNA from 1 species